rnacentral:rRNA from 1 species
AAAUUGAAGAGUUUGAUCAUGGCUCAGAUUGAACGCUGGCGGCAGGCCUAACACAUGCAAGUCGAGCGGUAGCACAGAGAGCUUGCUCUCGGGUGACGAGCGGCGGACGGGUGAGUAAUGUCUGGGAAACUGCCUGAUGGAGGGGGAUAACUACUGGAAACGGUAGCUAAUACCGCAUAACGUCGCAAGACCAAAGUGGGGGACCUUCGGGCCUCAUGCCAUCAGAUGUGCCCAGAUGGGAUUAGCUAGUAGGUGGGGUAACGGCUCACCUAGGCGACGAUCCUAGCUGGUCUGAGAGGAUGACCAGCCACACUGGAACUGAGACACGGUCCAGACUCCUACGGGAGGCAGCAGUGGGGAAUAUUGCACAAUGGGCGCAAGCCUGAUGCAGCCAUGCCGCGUGUGUGAAGAAGGCCUUCGGGUUGUAAAGCACUUUCAGCGGGGAGGAAGGCGAUAAGGUUAAUAACCUUGUCGAUUGACGUUACCCGCAGAAGAAGCACCGGCUAACUCCGUGCCAGCAGCCGCGGUAAUACGGAGGGUGCAAGCGUUAAUCGGAAUUACUGGGCGUAAAGCGCACGCAGGCGGUCUGUCAAGUCGGAUGUGAAAUCCCCGGGCUCAACCUGGGAACUGCAUUCGAAACUGGCAGGCUAGAGUCUUGUAGAGGGGUAGAAUUCCGUGUAGCGGUGAAAUGCGUAGAGAUCUGGAGGAAUACCGGUGGCGAAGGCGGCCCCCUGGACAAAGACUGACGCUCAGGUGCGAAAGCGUGGGGAGCAAACAGGAUUAGAUACCCUGGUAGUCCACGCCGUAAACGAUGUCGAUUUGGAGGUUGUGCCCUUGAGGCGUGGCUUCCGGAGCUAACGCGUUAAAUCGACCGCCUGGGGAGUACGGCCGCAAGGUUAAAACUCAAAUGAAUUGACGGGGGCCCGCACAAGCGGUGGAGCAUGUGGUUUAAUUCGAUGCAACGCGAAGAACCUUACCUGGUCUUGACAUCCACAGAACUUUCCAGAGAUGGAUUGGUGCCUUCGGGAACUGUGAGACAGGUGCUGCAUGGCUGUCGUCAGCUCGUGUUGUGAAAUGUUGGGUUAAGUCCCGCAACGAGCGCAACCCUUAUCCUUUGUUGCCAGCGGUCCGGCCGGGAACUCAAAGGAGACUGCCAGUGAUAAACUGGAGGAAGGUGGGGAUGACGUCAAGUCAUCAUGGCCCUUACGACCAGGGCUACACACGUGCUACAAUGGCAUAUACAAAGAGAAGCGACCUCGCGAGAGCAAGCGGACCUCAUAAAGUAUGUCGUAGUCCGGAUUGGAGUCUGCAACUCGACUCCAUGAAGUCGGAAUCGCUAGUAAUCGUAGAUCAGAAUGCUACGGUGAAUACGUUCCCGGGCCUUGUACACACCGCCCGUCACACCAUGGGAGUGGGUUGCAAAAGAAGUAGGUAGCUUAACCUUCGGGAGGGCGCUUACCACUUUGUGAUUCAUGACUGGGGUGAAGUCGUAACAAGGUAACCGUAGGGGAACCUGCGGUUGGAUCACCUCCUUACCUUAAAGAA